rnacentral:lncRNA from 1 species
GUUAUGUUAAUCAAAUUAGAUGCUUGCAAGUCUGGUUCCAUGUGUCAAAUCCUCCCCUCCAAACACGCCAUUGGUUUUGUUGCAGAUUGUCAUGCUAAAUUUUCAAAUAUUUCUCACUUUCUGAUUUAACAACCUCUGUUUUGUUUUAUUUGGCAGCUGCUCAUCCGUUGCUGUUGCUGCUCUCCUCUGGGUUGUCGCCAUCAACACGUCGUUGGUGUUGUUGCUCUCCUCUAGCAGCUGCUCAUGCAUGAGGUCUCCUUUUACUUACUUCGUACUCGAAGGUGGAACAACUUGUUCAGUAUGGUCCAUCCUAAGCAUGUAUAUAUACCCAUCAGUUUGUGUUCUUGAUAUCUACCUGUAGCGUCAUGAGGAAUAAACCUCCUGAUUUCAUAUGUUGUCCUAUGGAAGUCACCGGACUUUUUUAUCAACACUAAUUUCAGAUAGAUAGGUGCUGCUUACCAUACCUAAGAGUGUAGCAUGUUGUGAAGGGAUAUGGCAACUCCAGAGUAGACAAUUAAAAGAUGUUAGUAAAAUCAAUAUGCAUCCCUAGUGAUGCUUUAUCUUGUUAUUUUAGUCUGAGUGUUGUGUUGUAGCAUCAUUGACUAGUAUGGUUUUUUCAAGGUCUAUACAAGUGCCAUCUCAGUCUGGCAACAUAUGCCUCUUGUCAUAUAUGUAUCUAUUAUCACAUUAGAUGUUUUAAGUGAAUGUUGUAUUUCUUGAAAGCGUAGAUGUACUAAUGCAAACACUGCUUGUGUACUUAUGACUAAUGUGUUUUCCCCUCGUAUAUAUAUGAGUUCCUAGGCCGAAGAAAUUAGAAGAAGCUUGAAGCCCCAGUCAGCGACUCGCUUUAUUUGUAAUUUACUAGUUGUAAACUUGUAAUACAGAAUUUUCUUGGAAUUUUAAUGCAAUUCUGAUCUUGCUGGGAAUUGGGUGUAUAUUUACUUGCUAUACUUGUUAUUCAAAUGCUGGGUGUACUUGUUGUACGUGUUAUUCAAAUGCUGGGUGUACUUGCUGUACGUGUUAUUCAAAUGCUUGGAAUUUAAAUUUUGCUAAAUGUAUUUAGCUAGAUAGUUGGACUCAGUUUUAGCAAAUACCAGUAUAUUAUUUUUGAAAAUAAAUAAAAUGGACUGUAAAAAGGCUGAGUUACAAAAUUUAAAAGGAGUGCAAAAAGGCUGAGGCC